rnacentral:rRNA from 1 species
AGAAUCAACGCUGGCGGCGCGCUUAACACAUGCAAGUCGCACGAGAAAGAGGGCAACCUUGAGUAAAGUGGCGUACGGGUGAGUAACACGUGGAUCAUCUGCCUUUUAGUGGGGAAUACCCCCGGGAAACUGGGGACAAUACCGCAUAAGCUCGAGAGAGGAAAGCCGAAAGGCGCUGAAAGAGGAGUCCGCGGCUGAUUAGCUAGAUGGCGGGGUAACGGCCCACCAUGGCAAAGAUCGGUAGCCGGCCUGAGAGGGCACACGGCCACACUGGCACUGAAACACGGGCCAGACUCCUACGGGAGGCAGCAGUGGGGAAUCUUGCACAAUGGAGGAAACUCUGAUGCAGCGACGCCGCGUGAGCGAUGAAGCCCUUCGGGGUGUAAAGCUCUUUCGACGGGAACGAUAAUGACGGUACCCGGAGAAGAAGCUGCGGCUAACUACGUGCCAGCAGCCGCGGUAAUACGUAGGCAGCGAGCGUUGUUCGGAAUUACUGGGCGUAAAGAGUGUGUAGGCGGUGCUCUAAGUCUGUUGUGAAAUCUCCCGGCUUAACUGGGAGGGUGCGGCGGGAAACUGGAGUGCUCGAGGAUGGGAGAGGUAAGCGGAAUUCCUGGUGUAGCGGUGAAAUGCGUAGAUAUCAGGAGGAACACCUGUGGUGUAGACAGCUUACUGACCAUAUCUGACGCUGAGACACGAAAGCGUGGGUAGCAAACAGGAUUAGAUACCCUGGUAGUCCACGCCCUAAACGAUGCAUACUUGGUGUGAGCCAUUCAUUUGGUUCGUGCCGGAGCUAACGCGUUAAGUAUGCCGCCUGGGGAGUACGGUCGCAAGGCUG